UGCAUGAAACAAAGUUAAUUUUUACCUUCCUAUGUUGCUUUACUAUUGAUUCCAAGUAGCUUUUUCUUUCUUCUUUAUAUAGUUUUUAUAAUGAUUUGUAUUUUUUAAAAAGGUUUCUUGGAUAUCAAGCUGAUAUAUAUGGGUGGACCAGCAUGAUUUCUUUGAGGACUAAUUUAGGAGUUGUUGGACCCCCUACCAAAUUUCAGCAAUCAAUACAAUUCUUCUGGUGGCCUCGAUGGUAGAUGACCCACUGUGAGAAAAUCAUGCCAAUUGCUUGAUCUUGCUCAUCUAACCAUGGUACUUCUGCUUAAAACAUGUGAAUUAUACAUCUUUUAAGGCCUUAGCUGCUAGUUUACAAUCCAGUCUAGAGCCUACAGAUUAUAUAUAUCAGGCUACCAAGAUGGAUCUGUACGAGUAUGGGAUGCCACAUAUCCAGUCGUGUCACUUGUAUCUGUAUUUGGAAGGGAGGUUAGAGCCUCAUCAUGGAUAACCCAUAAAAUAUUUAUCUUUGAAACGUACUGAAGGUACCAGGUAUCAAAGUGGCUGGCAUAAGUGCUCUAGUAUUAGUGUUGGACUUCUGUUCAAUCACUAUGAGCUUGGUUAUUGGAAACGAAUGUGGUCUAGUGAGAGAUGUUCUUUCCAUAGCUACUUUCUUCUGAUUUGGCGGCUUAGGUUAUUAUUUAGUGUACAUAGCAAUGUAAUUAUUUGUUGUGACACUAAAAUCACAUUAGUAGAAUGAUACGAACUAUUUAAACAUUGACCAUCUAAAUGUCAUUGGCCAUUUUUUUGCGAGAUUUUCAAUUCUAAAAAGUGGGGCCCACAGUUCUAUUAUACAGACCAUCGGUUUGUUUCUUUCCACUGAGGGUGGAAAAUGGUCCAAUAAUCCAUCAGAUCAUAAGAUCCCAGCCACCUAUAUUAGGACCAAUUUUUGUUCUUAAUAGUCCACUUAGAAAGAAUCAGUGCAAGUUAGGACAUGUUAUUUUCCUCAACUCUGUAAGUUAAACGAGUAACUGUAUUUUGGGAAGUUUGUUGGUUAAACUAAUAUUAAAGCUCAGAAAAAUGAGAUUCCCUUUGUUAUGACUUGCUAAUUUUUCUAGUCGCUAGCCUUGCAGAUUCUUACUGGGAGGAACUAUAUGAUACAUGAUGGCCUGCAUCUUUGCACAGUAGUGGGGCCCAUGGUCUAGUAAUAUAGAUCAUUGGUUUGUUUUAUCCUAUUGUUGAAAUAUUUUAUAACCUACGCCUUGUUGAAGUUCGACUAUUGUCCACAUGCAUGUAUGGAUUUUUUUGGUUAUAUAUGUGAUUAUUAUUAUUAUUAUUUGGAAAAAAAGGUGCCAGAUAGCCAUUUGAACCAGAAAAAAAAUUACAUCUCAAGAAUCAGGUAUUUUCUCAAUUUAUCUCGAAAUGUAUAAUGUCUAAUGAUAUGGUAAUAUUUAUGGGAAUCAUCUCUAU